GACGAACCGAGCGAACGUUGUUCGGAAUCACUGGGCUUAAAGGGUGCGCAGGCGGUUCUGCAAGUCAGGCGUGAAAUCCCCGGGCUUAACCUGGGAAUGGCGCUUGAAACUACGGGACUGGAGUAUGGCAGAGGGAGGUGGAAUUCCACGUGUAGCGGUGAAAUGCGUAGAGAUGUGGAGGAACACCGAUGGCGAAGGCAGCCUCCUGGGCCAAUACUGACGCUCAUGCACGAAAGCGUGGGGAGCAAACAGG
rnacentral:rRNA from 1 species